rnacentral:rRNA from 1 species
GACGAACGCUGGCGGCGUGCCUAAUACAUGCGAGUUGAGCGCUGAAGGUUGGUACUUGUACCAACUGGACGAGCAGCGAACGGGUGAGUAACGCGUGGGGAAUCUGCCUUUGAGCGGGGGACAACAUUUGGAAACGAAUGCUAAUACCGCAUAAAAACUUUAAACACAAGUUUUAAGUUUGAAAGAUGCAAUUGCAUCACUCAAAGAUGAUCCCGCGUUGUAUUAGCUAGUUGGUGAGGUAAAGGCUCACCAAGGCGAUGAUACAUAGCCGACCUGAGAGGGUGAUCGGCCACAUUGGGACUGAGACACGGCCCAAACUCCUACGGGAGGCAGCAGUAGGGAAUCUUCGGCAAUGGACGAAAGUCUGACCGAGCAACGCCGCGUGAGUGAAGAAGGUUUUCGGAUCGUAAAACUCUGUUGGUAGAGAAGAACGUUGGUGAGAGUGGAAAGCUCAUCAAGUGACGGUAACUACCCAGAAAGGGACGGCUAACUACGUG